GACAGAGGAUGCAAGCGUUAUCCGGAAUGAUUGGGCGUAAAGCGUCUGUAGGUGGCUUUUCAAGUCCGCCGUCAAAUCCCAGGGCUCAACCCUGGACAGGCGGUGGAAACUACCAAGCUGGAGUACGGUAGGGGCAGAGGGAAUUUCCGGUGGAGCGGUGAAAUGCGUAGAUAUCAUUUGGAACGCCAAUGGUGAAAACAGGUAGCUGGGGCUGUGCUGACGCUGAGACACGAAAGCCAGGGGAGCAAACGGG
rnacentral:rRNA from 1 species